AUUGAACGCUGGCGGCAUGCUUUACACAUGCAAGUCGAACGGCAGCGCGGGCUUCGGCCUGGCGGCGAGUGGCGAACGGGUGAGUAAUGCAUCGGAACGUGCCCAGUAGUGGGGGGUAGCCCGGCGAAAGCCGGAUUAAUACCGCAUACGACCUGAGGGUGAAAGCGGGGGACCGAAAGGCCUCGCGCUAUUGGAGCGGCCGAUGUCGGAUUAGCUAGUUGGUGGGGUAAAGGCUUACCAAGGCGACGAUCCGUAGCUGGUCUGAGAGGACGACCAGCCACACUGGAACUGAGACACGGCCCAGACUCCUACGGGAGGCAGCAGUGGGGAAUUUUGGACAAUGGGGGCAACCCUGAUCCAGCCAUGCCGCGUGCGGGAAGAAGGCCUUCGGGUUGUAAACCGCUUUUGUUCGGGAAGAAAUCCUCUGGGCUAAUACCCCGGGGGGAUGACGGUACCGGAAGAAUAAGCACCGGCUAACUACGUG
rnacentral:rRNA from 1 species